rnacentral:tRNA from 13 species
AAAGUUUUGAGUCACAGAAAAGGAGACUACAAAGUUCAAAAUGUUCAAUCCAACCCUUG